rnacentral:tRNA from 1 species
UCGGUUAUGGUGUAACGGCUAACAUUACCGCCUUUCAUUUGUUGAACGCGGUAGCUCGGGGUUCGAUUCCCCGUAACCGAA